UCAUGCCGCGUGAGUGAAGAAGGCCUUCGGGUUGUAAAGCUCUUUUGUCAGGGAAGAAACACCGGCUCUAACACAGUCCGGGAAUGACGGUACCUGAAGAAUAAGCACCGGCUAACUACGUGCCAGCAGCCGCGGUAAUACGUAGGGUGCGAGCGUUAAUCGGAAUUACUGGGCGUAAAGCGUGCGCAGGCGGUUAUACAAGACAGGCGUGAAAUCCCCGGGCUUAACCUGGGAAUAGCGCCUGUGACUGUAUAGCUAGAGUGUGUCAGAGGGGGGUAGAAUUCCACGUGUAGCAGUGAAAUGCGUAGAUAUGUGGAGGAAUACCAAUGGCGAAGGCAGCCCCCUGGGAUAACACUGACGCUCAUGCACGAAAGCGUGGGGAGCAAACAGGAUUAGAUACCCUGGUAGUCCACGCCCUAAACGAUGCUGAUUAGUUGUUCGGGAUUUACAUCCUGAGUAACGUAGCUAACGCGUGAAGUCAGCCGCCUGGGGAGUACGGUCGCAAGAUUAAAACUCAAAGGAAUUGACGGGGACCCGCACAAGCGGUGGAUGAUGUGGAUUCAUUCGAUGCAACGCGAAAAAGCUUAUCUACCCUUGACCUGUCCCUUAACGAAGUGGAGAUCCAUUAGGGCUCGUUAGAGAAGGUGACCAGGUGUUGAUGGUGUCGCAGCUCGUGUCGGAGUGUGGGUAGUCCGCACGAGGCACUGGUUUGUGGCUGGGAGCUCUAGGAGGCGGGACCGGGGGGGGGGAGGA
rnacentral:rRNA from 1 species